AUAGACGUGGCCGAGGCGGGUGAAAGGGCAGUAUCUGUUCUCAUCAGCUUAAUAUCUGAUACUGGUUAUAUUUAGACCGAUGAAUUUCAACAUAUUUUUGCGAGUUGGCGAAGUCCUUGAAGCUUGCUUCCCCUCUGCCGCGGGUCGGCCCGGUAUUGCAUUAUAUCCGGGAUCGGCCCACGCCUU